ACUGAUCAGCGAAUUUACUGGCGGUGCAGGGCGGGGAACACCUGCACAGCGACUGUUUCGACAGAGGCCGGUGUAUUUGUCAAAGGCCGUAAAGGACACAACCAUCCUCCAGAAAGCAAGCGCCUAGCAAGAAAGAUCGACACACGGAGGAAGAAAUGUCUGCAGGCUGAGUGUGAUGAAGACAAUUUCUAAAAUAGGAGAGGGCGUCUUUGGAGAAGUGUUUAAGGGAACUAGAAAUAGAGAGCUUGUUCUUGUUAAGAUUGUGCCAAUUGAAGGGAAGCAAAUCAUCAAUGACGAACAUCAGAAAAAGUUUGCUGAAAUCUUAUCCGAAGUGGAGGUUUCUAGGUACUUAGUUUGGUAGCGAUUAGUAAACAAGACUCCUUAGCCUAAGUGGUGUGAUUUAAUUCAGUUGGUUGAGUGCUCUCCUGAG